rfam:Escherichia coli ISC11, WGS project CBWP01000000 data, contig: c5
UUACGUGACGAAGCGCGCGCCAAAGUGGACAAUAAAGGCUGAGCGUUAAGUCAGCCAGCAGAAAACGCCGGGUAAUCCGGCGUUUUUUU